GGAAAAUGUCUUAUAAGUAAAAUAAUCUGCCAGAGAUAUUGAGUUUUUCAUCAAUAUUAUGGAAAUAUCUACUAAAAAUAAGUUCCUAUGUAUUGCUGAUAAGUUACUUGUAAGUUAGUUUUGUCUUAUGUCAAGUGUAGCAAGAUAUUUUCACUAGAAACUAGAAAACAAAAACACUUGGAAAGAUUUUGCGAAGUGUAAUUGUCAGUCUAUUUCAUCCUCUGCUAUUGUAAGUUUUACUUUCAUCUAAGACGUGGGCAGCUAUUAAUCCCAAAGAGCAACAAAAGCAUCUUUGACCACAAGCUAAAACAACUUGUGCAAAAAUAUAUUUGACAGAAAAUUGUAGAUAUCAUUUUGAUCAUCAUCCGGCUAAAUGCCAAUGGACAAUAAAACACGACCCACCAUGCUGAAAUCCUAAACUUGAUGACAAUCCCAGGUUGACCUGAAGGCUUUGAUAAUCUCACAAUCUAUGCGAUUUAGAAAACCUUGCCAAAUAUUGCCAAGUCAAGAUGAUAGACUUUUACAAAGGAGGACUAAAUGAUGACAUGGAUUUUUGUUAAAAUUUUGUUCUCUAAUGGGAUACAAGCCCCACUAAAAGGUGGCAAAAGUUAUGAAAAGAGGACUGAUCAUACAUUAUAGAGUGUUGACUCAAAAUUUCAAGUACAUAUGUGACUUUUUAGUCAACAAGACAAACACAACAGCGUUCAGAGAUGCUUUCCCUCUGAGGCAAAAAGACAAGAAAUAAGGAGAUGUCGAAGGAUGCUACAUGCUAGCUGUGCUAGUGCUAUAUGCUAACACUACAUGUUACACUAAUGCCACAUUUAUAACGUAAAAAAAUAUUACUGUAAAGUUUUUAACAUUGGCGCCUUGUUUAUUUUAUAAACAAGGCGCCAAUGUUAAGUCAUCUUGAAACGAGUCAAGUCAUCUUGAAACGAGGGGCCUCAAUCUGAGAGAGUUUGGCUCCCAGAUCUUUUCCAAGCACUGCCUUGUUUAUUUUAUAAACAAGGCCCUUAGAGGUCCCUAUUUUUUUUUUGUAACUUAUCAUAUUUUUUGCUGUUAAUGAGAGCAAAAAAGAUCCUUCAAAUAAUGUUGCUGUGAUGGAGUAUUUUUCUUAAUAUCACUUUUGACGUUUUAGUAGUGUGAUAACACCAUUGUGUUUUCAGAAAAAACUCAAAAUUUAUCACACAGAAACAUUUUCUGUCGAGAAAAUGAUCAAACUGCUGUGAAAUAAAACUUUUCACCUCCAUGUGUCAUCCAUUGAGCAGCUCCUACCUUCAUGCUUUCUUCCCUGACUCCACCACAUCAGCUCUUAUAAACCCACCUCUGACAUGAGUGGGGCGAGGAUCAGCUGGCCAAUUGAAAUCCCACAUGAUCACGUCGAAAUGAACAGUUUGAGGAUCUACGAUCAACCUGCGGCAUUGUUGAAUUAAUCUGUGAGUGUUCGUGCUGUGACACAUAAAGGUCCACCACGCACACAAGAUUGCCAUUUGACAAUGAAGCGGUGUGUGUGGAGCCAGUAGAUAAGCGUAGAGGGACUGAGCUUGUAGUUGGGGAGUCUAGCCAAGGAUAUUGACCAAACUCUGUGGGCUGCACGGUGUGUGUGGCGGAGAGUCAGCGUGGGAACAACAGAUGCACAAGAAAAAAAAAAGAAGAAAGAAAUCAGACGCACGCAGACAGAAAAGCGUGGGCGGGUGCACAAGCCAACACAUGAACAUAAAGUAGAGGAAUAAUAAUAAUUUUUAAAAAAACGCACGAGAGGACCGUCACACUCUCUGUAUACGUGAGGAUGAGUCAAGCCGGCGAUAAAAAUAUACAGACAAGAACAACUUCUCUAGUAGACAAGAAAAAGUUUCUAAAGAUGACCAAUUGAAUAUCUAAGUGAUGAGGUAAAUAAUACUUUUGUCGACACAGAUGGAGACUAAUGCUAGUCCUACUUUUUGGAGGCGACGCUAAUAGGUGGUGAUUUGAAAGCGUCCAUCGACGUGCCAAAGAGGAGUCAUAAUGGCAGUGAAAUGCCUCAUCAGAAAGAUGAGACGACGUGGCUGCACUUCAUCAAAAACGAAUGUCAGAACACCGAGUUGGUGCUCGGCUUCCAGUGACAGACUGAUGGUCGGUUUUUAAUAUAGUCUGGCAUGAGGAGAAAUCCCACAACAAGGCAGCGAUGGCAAGAUGCAAAAGUGUUCAAUAUUAUUAAAGUCAGAAACAAAGUCCUCAAAAGGAUAAAGUUACUCUAAAAUGACAGAACAAAAAGUAGUUGGGAUUUAAUUCAAGUUGAACACAAUCAUUUAAAAACAAAUCAAAAGGCUUGUAGGUCAUUUUUAACCUUUGCACUGAUUUGAAACAAACAGCAACUAAAACAAAAGAAUGGUGCAAAAUUAAGACAGACAGGAUUUUAUUUUUGUCUUUCAGGGAGAAACUUUUACUGACAAUUGACUGCAAAUGGAAAAUGUGAAGUACAACACACAGUCUCCGUCUGUUAGAAAUAAAGUUUAAAUAAGGUUUGGACUUUUCUUGCCUGACCAUUACAAUAUUAUGUACCAGAAUAUAAAAUAAAACAAAUAAAAAUAUUACAAGUGGGUGUACUAAAAAGAACAAAUUUUAAGGUUAAGCAGUAUCUAAACAGCAUGACUUUUAUGAAACAGAACUUAUGUUUUGUACUUAUUAAACAAGUUGAAAUAAAUUGUGUUUCCUACUUCUCUGCUAAAUCCAUGGUGGCCUUAACUCAAUACUUAUUUAUUAUGAGAAGCUUGGAAGUGAAAAACUGUCUUGGCUUCGGUUGGUGCAAUCAAAGUAUCAUAAAACAGGAAGCUGUUGGAUUCUGAAGCUGGUGGAUUAUUCAACUUAUUAUAACUUGUGGUAUGAAUGUCAGGAUUUGACUGACUUGCUGAAAACCCAUUUUCCCUUUGAGAAAAAUACAAGUCAAGUUACUUCAAGAAAAAACAAGUUCAGGUGCUGGUUUAAAAAAA